AGUUAGUACCAAAUAGAUAGUUACCACUGGGUUAAUAUACGGUGUCAUAGCAUGUAAGCAUAAUAGUUAUAGCAUAAUAUUUGAGCAAUACAAUAGCAUUUAUUGUACUACAAGCGGUGUGGGAUUUUAUAUCUGCUGUCUCUUGUAGAGAUCUUGUUAUAUAGGGCUGCAAUUGCUGCAGUGAGGAUGUUGCUUAAGAACUGAAAUCGAUUAAAGGUUCAG